rnacentral:rRNA from 1 species
UACAGAGGUCUCAAGCGUUGUUCGGAUUCAUUGGGCGUAAAGGGUGCGUAGGUGGCGCCGUUAGUCGGGUGUGAAAUUUCGGAGCUUAACUCCGAAACUGCAUUCGAUACUGCGGUGCUUGAGGACUGGAGAGGAGACUGGAAUUUACGGUGUAGCAGUGAAAUGCGUAGAGAUCGUAAGGAAGACCAGUGGCGAAGGCGGGUCUCUGGACAGUUCCUGACACUGAGGCACGAAGGCCAGGGGAGCAAACGGG